GAAAGGAAAAAAAAAAAAGAACCACAGCUUUGGACAAAAGUCUAUAGCCAGUGCAUUUGAAACUCCCCUUGCACCAGGGCUGACUGUAGCUGGGGGAAGACAUUUUACUCAUUUGCUCUUUCCUUUAACACGGUCAGCGGGUCCCUCUUCUCAGGUGUAGAUCACCUCUUACAAUUUUACCUAAUUCUGAUAAGGAAAGUCCCAGGACUUACCAGCUGGGAUAGGCCUCACUUACAGGACAGCUCUGUUCAGUACUUGGAAGAAAGCCUGGCAGGUUUCUUCGGAAAAGUGGCCAUCCAUGGAAUGAAUGAAAUGUUCUCUUUCUAUUCCAACUACCAAUAACAUUUUUCCUUAGCCUCAAGAGACCAUCAAAAAACAAUAGCUCACAAUGCUUUUAGAACAGAAAGCGAAGUUGUAUAGUGUACAUGUGUGAUUCUACACAAGAGGAAGGCAAUG